rnacentral:rRNA from 1 species
CUGUCCCGCAUGGGACGGGGAAAAAAGCUCCGGCGGUGAAGGAUGAGCCCGCGGCCUAUCAGCUUGUUGCUGGGGUAAUGGCCUACCAAGGAGACGACGGGUAGCCCGGCCUGAGAGGGCGACCGGCCACACUGGGACUGAGACACGGCCCAGACUCCUACGGGAGGCAGCAGUGGGGAAUAUUGCACAAUGGCGAAAGCCUGAUGCAGCGACGCCGCGUGAGGGAUGACGGCCUUCGGGUUGUAAACCUCUUUCAGCAGGGAAGAAGCGAGAGUGACGGUACCUGCAGAAGAAGCGCCGGCUAACUACGUGCCAGCAGCCGCGGUAAUACGUAGGGCGCAAGCGUUGUCCGGAAUUAUUGGGCGUAAAGAGCUCGCAGGCGGCUUGUCACGUCGGAUGUGAAAGCCCGGGGCUUAACCCCGGGUCUGCAUUCGAUACGGGCUAGCUAGAGUGUGGUAGGGGAGAUCGGAAUUCCUGGUGUAGCGGUGGU